GACGAACGCUGGCGGCGUGCUUAACACAUGCAAGUCGAACGGAAAGGCCCUGCUUUUGUGGGGUGCUCGAGUGGCGAACGGGUGAGUAACACGUGAGUAACCUGCCCUUGACUUUGGGAUAACUUCAGGAAACUGGGGCUAAUACCGGAUAGGAGCCCCUGCUGCAUGGUGGGGGUUGGAAAGUUUCGGCGGUUGGGGAUGGACUCGCGGCUUAUCAGCUUGUUGGUGGGGUAGUGGCUUACCAAGGCUUUGACGGGUAGCCGGCCUGAGAGGGUGACCGGCCACAUUGGGACUGAGAUACGGCCCAGACUCCUACGGGAGGCAGCAGUGGGGAAUAUUGCACAAUGGGCGGAAGCCUGGUGCAGCAACGCCGCGUGCGGGAUGACGGCCUUCGGGUUGUAAACCGCUUUCGCCUGUGACGAAGCGUGAGUGACGGUAAUGGGUAAAGAAGCACCGGCUAACUACGUG
rnacentral:rRNA from 1 species